UCCUAGUUAACCUAGGCAGUCUCGUUAGAGUUCCCGCCAUUACGCGCUGGCAACUAACGAUAAGGGUUGCGCUCGUUGCUGGACUUAACCAAACACCUCACGGCACGAGCUGACGACAGCCAUGCAGCACCUAUAUAGAGACCCUUUCGGGAUAGAUAAUCUCUUAUCUAGUCCUCUACAUUUCGAGCCCAGGUAAGGUUCUUCGCGUUGCCUCGAAUUAAGCAACAUGCUCCGCCGCUUGU
rnacentral:misc_RNA from 1 species